GGUGCAGGUGGGCAGUUCGGCUGGGGCGGCACCCCUUUGAAAAGAUAUCAAAGGGGCCCAAAGUUCGGUUCAAACGGGUCAGAAAUCCGUUGAAGAGGGCAAGGCCACAAUCUGGACUGACUGGAUCUCCAAACGCACGGGAUUCAGAGACGAAAGUCGGGCCUAGCGAUCCAUGACGUCCCCACUAUUGGGGGCUCGUGGUGACAGAAAAAUUACCCCAGGGAUAACAGGCUCGUCGCGGGCGAGAGCUCCUAUCGACCCCGCGGUUUGGUACCUCGAUGUCGGCUUUUCCCAUCCUGGCCCUGCAGCAGGGGCCAAGGGUGAGGCUGCUCGCCUAUUAAAGGGGAACAUGAGCUGGGUUUAGACCGUCGUGAGACAGGUCGGACUCUGCCUGAUGGAAGCGUGGAUACUUGAGGGGAAGNNNNNNNNNNGCUAAGCUAUUUGGGCUAACUCCUGAAAGCAUCUAAGGAGGAAUCCCAUCCCGAGAAAAGGUAUCCGUCCGUUUAGGUGAAGGGUGGCGAAAGAAGAUCGCGUUGAUAGAACAGCAGUAUAAAUCCCAAGCUUCGGCGAGGGGUGAGCUGGCUGUCACUAACAACCCAAUACAUCAGCUCA
rnacentral:rRNA from 1 species